rnacentral:misc_RNA from 1 species
GAUGAAGAACGUAGCGAAAUGCGAUACUUGGUGUGAAUUGCAGAAUCCCGUGAACCAUCGAGUCUUUGAACGCAAGUUGCGCCCGAAGCCAUCAGGUUGAGGGCACGUCUGCCUGGGCGUCACAUAUCGUUGCCCAAUGCCUAUUGCAGUGCAAUAGGAAUUUCUAGGGCGAAUGAUGGCUUCCCGUGAGCGUUGUUGCCUCGCGGUUGGUUGAAAAUCGAGUCCUUGGUAGGGUGUGCCAUGGUAGAUGGUGGUCGAGUUAGGACGAUACCGAUCAUGUGCAUGCUCCCCAAAAUAUGGCCUCUAUGACCCACACGCGUCUUUUGACGCUCAUGACGAGACCUCAUGUCAGGCGGGGCUACCCGCUGAAUUUAAGCAUAUCAAUAAGCGGAGGA